rnacentral:SRP_RNA from 14 species
UGGGAUGUCGUCACAAGCCACGGCGAUGUCCCGUACUGCUUGGCCUUCGAUGGCGGCGCAUCGGGGCUGGAGGUGGAACCCUGUGAGUCGUAAACCAUCACCCGAAGUGAGCAAGGAUGCCGAGUACAACUGGAACUCGUCGGAGAUCG